GUAAAUAUAGUUUAUCCAAAACACUAGACGGUGACUCUGGAAACAGAAGCCCCAACUUCUUAUUUACC
rnacentral:tRNA from 1 species